rnacentral:rRNA from 1 species
GAUGAACGCUAGCGGCAGGCCUAACACAUGCAAGUCGAGGGGCAGCACGUAGAGUAGUUUACUACUCUUGGUGGCGACCGGCGCACGGGUGCGUAACGCGUAUGCAACCUACCAAUGACAGGGGGAUAAUUCGGAGAAAUCUGGUCUAAUACCCCAUAACAAUUGAAACGGCAUCGUUUUAAUUUGAAAACUCCGGUGGUCAUUGAUGGGCAUGCGUGACAUUAGUUAGAUGGUGAGGUAACGGCUCACCAUGACCACGAUGUCUAGGGGGACUGAGAGGUUAACCCCCCACACUGGUACUGAGACACGGACCAGACUCCUACGGGAGGCAGCAGUGAGGAAUAUUGGUCAAUGGACGCAAGUCUGAACCAGCCAUGCCGCGUGCAGGAAGACGGCUCUAUGAGUUGUAAACUGCUUUUGUACGAGGGUAAUUGCACUUACGUGUAAGUGUUUGAAAGUAUCGUACGAAUAAGGAUCGGCUAACUCCGUGCCAGCAGCCGCGGUAAG